rnacentral:tRNA from 1 species
CUUGUAGUAAUUAAAAUGAAAUAAUAAUAGACUUAAAAUCUAAAAAUGGAGGUUUAAACCCUCCCUAUAAUU